rnacentral:lncRNA from 1 species
AGGAAGUCAUCUUCAUUAGGAAAUCUUGUUCCAAGGGAUUUCGGAAUGAUCAUAGAUGUCUAAACCAGACAUCUAAUGGGAGAAAUUCAAGUUUGUUGAUUUAAGUCCUUAAUAUAACACCCAAUAUGAAAUAUUAAGGCUAGGACCCAACACAAUAUUUUAUAACUUGGAAGAGGGAUGCUGUAAUCCAAGCUAUAAAAUAUUUGAAGGUAGGCGAAUGACGAUUCACCAAUUUCCACCAUGAAAAACGAAAUAAAUUAUUAGGUUUUAAUUGGAUUUGAAACUCCUAGAUCUUUUGAGAUUCAUUGAACUUUUCAAUGGCAUGUUUCAAUCUCGAUUGUGCCCUCUCAAGUUUUGUGACUGGGAUGUCGAGGAUCACAAAACAAGGUGUGAAUAACCAUGCAAAUAUACUUGGUACCCUUAAUAUUUAUCCUNCCCAACACAAUAUUUUAUAACUUGGAAGAGGGAUGUUGUAAUCCAAGCUAUAAAAUAUUUGAAGGUAGGCGAAUGACGAUUCACCAAUUUCCACCAUGAAAAAUGAAAUAAUUUAUUAGGUUUUAAUUGGAUUUGAAAUUCCUAGAUCUUUUGAGAUUCAUUGAACUUUUCAAUGGCAUGUUUCAAUCUCGAUUGUGCCCUCUCAA